rfam:Gossypium raimondii Chr10_contig_1085, whole genome shotgun sequence.
AUCCCACGAUGAGGACACUUACGAAGUAACUCCUUGAAUCGCUCCCAAGCCUCAUAUAAAGACUCGUCAUCCAACUGUUGGAAAGUUGUGUCUCGUUCCUUAACUU